ACGGGAGGCAGCAGUGGGGAAUAUUGGACAAUGGGGGAAACCCUGAUCCAGCGACGCCGCGUGAGUGAAGAAGUAUUUCGGUAUGUAAAGCUCUAUCAGCAAGGAAGAAAAUGACGGUACUUGACUAAGAAGCCCCGGCUAACUACGUGCCAGCAGCCGCGGUAAUACGGAGGAUCCGAGCGUUAUCCGGAUUUAUUGGGUUUAAAGGGUGCGCAGGCGGGCUGCUAAGUCUCCGGUGAAAUGUCAGGGCUCAACCUUGGCACUGCCGGAGAUACUGGCGGCCUUGAGAGUGGCGGAGGUAUCCGGAAUGUGUGGUGUAGCGGUGAAAUGCAUAGAUAUCACACAGAACACCGAUUGCGAAGGCAGGAUACCAUACCAUAUCUGACGCUCAGGCACGAAAGCGUGGGGAUCGAACAGGAUUAGAUACCCUGGUA
rnacentral:rRNA from 1 species